UCCUACGGGAGGCAGCAGUGAGGAAUAUUGGUCAAUGGGCGGGAGCCUGAACCAGCCAAGCCGCGUGAGGGAAGAAGGUACAGCGUAUCGUAAACCUCUUUUGUCGGAGAACAAAACCCGGGACGUGUCCCGGACUGCGUGUAUCCGAAGAAAAAGCAUCGGCUAACUCCGUGCCAGCAGCCGCGGUAAUACGGAGGAUGCGAGCGUUAUCCGGAUUUAUUGGGUUUAAAGGGUGCGUAGGCGGCCUGUUAAGUCAGCGGUAAAACCCCGGGGCUCAACCCCGGCGCGCCGUUG
rnacentral:rRNA from 1 species